AUUGAACGCUGGCGGCAGGCCUAACACAUGCAAGUCGAGCGAGUGGCGGACGGGUGAGUAAUGUCUGGGAAACUGCCUGAUGGAGGGGGAUAACUACUGGAAACGGUAGCUAAUACCGCAUACCAUCAGAUGUGCCCAGAUGGGAUUAGCUAGUAGGUGGGGUAACGGCUCACCUAGGCGACGAUCCCUAGCUGGUCUGAGAGGAUGACCAGCCACACUGGAACUGAGACACGGUCCAGACUCCUACGGGAGGCAGCAGUGGGGAAUAUUGCACAAUGGGCGCAAGCCUGAGGCAGCCAUGCCGCGUGUAUGAAGAAGGCCUUCGGGUUGUAAAGUACUUUCAGCGGGGAGGCGUUACCCGCAGAAGAAGCACCGGCUAACUCCGUGCCAGCAGCCGCGGUAAUAC
rnacentral:rRNA from 1 species